GUGAGGAAUAUUGGUCAAUGGGCGGAAGCCUGAACCAGCCAAGUCGCGUGAAGGAAGAAGGAUCUAUGGUUUGUAAACUUCUUUUGAAGGGGGAUAAAGUGCGUCACGAGUGGUGCAUUGCAGGUACCCUUGGAAUAAGCAUCGGCUAACUCCGUGCCAGCAGCCGCGGUAAUACGGAGGAUGCGAGCGUUAUCCGGAUUUAUUGGGUUUAAAGGGUGCGUAGGUGGCUUUUUAAGUCAGCGGUGAAAACUGGCGGCUCAACCGCAAGAGUGCCGUUGAAACUGGGGAGCUAGAGUAUGAACGAGGUAGGCGGAAUGUGUGGUGUAGCGGUGAAAUGCAUAGAUAUCACGCAGAACUCCGAUAGCGAAGGCAGCUUACCAGGCCAUAACAGACACUGAAGCACGAAAGCGUGGGGAUCGAACAGGAUUAGAAACCCCAGUAGUCC
rnacentral:rRNA from 1 species